GAAACUGCGAAUGGCUCAUUAUAUAAGUUAUCGUUUAUUUGAUAGUACCUUACUACUUGGAUAACCGUGGUAAUUCUAGAGCUAAUACAUGCUAAAAAUCCCGACUUCGGAAGGGAUGUAUUUAUUAGAUUAAAAACCAAUGCCCUUCGGGGCUCUCUGGUGAUUCAUGAUAACUUCUCGAAUCGCACGGCCUUGCGCCGGCGAUGGCUCAUUCAAAUUUCUUCCCUAUCAACUUUCGAUGUUUGGGUCUUGGCCAAACAUGGUUGCAACGGGUAACGGAGGGUUAGGGCUCGACCCCGGAGAAGGAGCCUGAGAAACGGCUACUACAUCCAAGGAAGGCAGCAGGCGCGCAAAUUACCCAAUCCCGACACGGGGAGGUAGUGACAAUAAAUACUGAUACAGGGCUCUUUUGGGUCUUGUAAUUGGAAUGAGUACAAUUUAAAUCCCUUAACGAGGAACAAUUGGAGGGCAAGUCUGGUGCCAGCAGCCGCGGUAAUUCCAGCUCCAAUAGCGUAUAUUAAAGUUGUUGUGGUUAAAAAGCUCGUAGUUGAACCUUGGGCCUGGCUGGCCGGUCCGCCUCAC
rnacentral:rRNA from 1 species